rnacentral:rRNA from 1 species
CCUACGGGUGGCAGCAGUAGGGAAUAUUGCUCAAUGGGGGAAACCCUGAAGCAGCAACGCCGCGUGGAGGAUGAAGGUUUUCGGAUUGUAAACUCCUUUUGUGAGAGAAGAUAAUGACGGUAUCUCACGAAUAAGCACCGGCUAACUCCGUGCCAGCAGCCGCGGUAAUACGGAGGGUACAAGCGUUACUCGGAAUCACUGGGCGUAAAGCGUGCGCAGGCGGGCUUGUAAGUCAGAUGUGAAAUCCUGUAGUUUAACAACAGAACUGCAUUUGAAACUAUGAGUCUAGAGUGUGGAAGGGGUAGGUGGAAUUCUUGGUGUAGGGGUAAAAUGCGUAGAUAUCAAGAGGAAUACUCAUUGCGAAGGCGACCUACUGGAACAUUACUGACGCUCAUGCACGAAAGCGUGGGGAGCGAACAGGAUUAGAUACCCGAGUAGUC